rnacentral:rRNA from 1 species
GAUGAACGCUAGCUACAGGCUUAACACAUGCAAGUCGAGGGGAAACGACAUCGAAAGCUUGCUUUUGAUGGGCGUCGACCGGCGCACGGGUGAGUAACGCGUAUCCAACCUGCCCAUCACUUGGGAAUAACCUUGCGAAAGUAAGACUAAUACCCAAUGAUAUCCCACGAAGGCAUCGGAAUGGGAUUAAAGAUUUAUCGGUGAUGGAUGGGGAUGCGUCUGAUUAGCUUGUUGGCGGGGUAACGGCCCACCAAGGCAACGAUCAGUAGGGGUUCUGAGAGGAAGGUCCCCCACAUUGGAACUGAGACACGGGCCAAACUCCUACGGGAGGCAGCAGUGAGGAAUAUUGGUCAAUGGGCGAGAGCCUGAACCAGCCAAGUAGCGUGCAGGAUGACGGCCCUAUGGGUUGUAAACUGCUUUUAUAAGGGAAUAAAGUGGGUCUCGUGAGACUUUUUGCAUGUACCUUAUGAAUAAGGACCGGCUAAUUCCGUG